AUGAAGAACAAGUACAUGCACGCGGUGAAUUCAACUAUAGAAAUGAAUGCUGCCGCAACCGACAAACAACCAAGCGCAGCUCAAAGCCCACUAAAUUGUGGCACAAAGAAGAAGAAGGUUUUAUCAGCGGCAUCUCGUGAGUCAAAAAUCAAAUAUGAUAAAAGACGGUCAGGGACCAGAUUAAGUGUCGGAUAUGCGUUGGAGGAAUGGAGGUUGCUUCAACUAGAUCUGGGACUGAAAAAAGAUGCGGACAUGGCUCAUUUCCUAGUGGCCAGUCAACCUUCGAGUUGUAUUGUGCAUGGCUGUGGCAAAAAGUCAGAGCCUUAUGUGAGAACCCUGCAUCAGUUUCCAGAAGAUUUGGAGACCGUAAAAGUGUGGAAAGAGUUUGUGCAGAAGACCACCACAGAAUGGGAUGGUCAGGUCUCUCCGUGGAAGAAGAUCUGUAGUGAGCAUUUUGAGCCAAGCUGUUAUGCAAAUCACACAGCCUGGUUGAUGCGUUCCGUUCAGAAGUUGGAACUGAGAGAUGAGUUUCAAGUCCCAACAAUAUAUCCUACUGAGGAAACAUCUUCACAUGAUGCGGGAAGUUUGGAUCAACCACAGCAAGCUGCAGUUGGGGGGAUAGAGCCUACUCGGAUUCCAGAGUCUCCCAGUCAAAACACGAAAGUUGUAGAGGGAAAUGCGCAACAACCGACGACGCUUCAGCUGCCACCAGAGCUCCACCAAACACCCCUGUCUGUUCCAUCUUUCUGCGUAACCCCUUUGGUUCUAUAUACAGCACCAGCAACACCGUACCAAGUGCAGCCUGGCCUCACAGGAAGUGUGAAUGUUGUUGGAGAAAAGUCAUGGAAAAGCAAAGGCUGUCAAACAGAAAGUGUUACAUUUGCUGAUGGAAAUUGCCACAUCAUAAAACCACGUCUGCCAAAAGCCGAAACAGCAGAGGACACAUACUCCAGAGACAGUGAUGUUUGUGAUGAAGACGAAGAUGUCAGCAGGUACCACAAUAAAGAUGUGGAGGAUAAGCUAUUGUUGUAG
rnacentral:lncRNA from 1 species